rnacentral:rRNA from 1 species
GCGGAUCAGCAUGCCGCGGUGAAUACGUUCCCGGGGAUUGUACACACCGCCCGUCACACCAUGAGAGUCGGGAACACCCAAAGUCCGUAGUCUAACCGCAAGGAGGACGCGGCCUAAGGUGGGUUCGAUAAUUGGGGUGAAGUCGUAACAAGGUAGC